CCUUGACAUCCAGAGAACUUAGCAGAGAUUGCUUUGGUGCCUUCGGGAACUCUGAGACAGGUGCUGCAUGGCUGUCGUCAGCUCGUGUUGUGAAAUGUUGGGUUAAGUCCGCAACGAGCGCAACCCUUAUCCUUUGUUGCCAGCGGUUCGGCCGGGAACUCAAAGGAGACUGCCGGUGAUAAACCGGAGGAAGGUGGGGAUGACGUCAAGUCAUCAUGGCCCUUACGGCCAGGGCUACACACGUGCUACAAUGGCGCAUACAAAGAGAAGCGACCUCGCGAGAGCAAGCGGACCUCAUAAAGUGCGUCGUAGUCCGGAUUGGAGUCUGCAACUCGACUCCAUGAAGUCGGAAUCGCUAGUAAUCGUAGAUCAGAAUGCUACGGUGAAUACGUUCCCGGGCCUUGUACACACCGCCCGUCACACCAUGGGAGUGGGUUGCAAAAGAAGUAGGUAGCUUAACCUUCGGGAGGGCGCUUACCACUUUGUGAUUCAUGACUGGGGUGAAGUCGUAACAAGGUAGGCGUAGACGU
rnacentral:rRNA from 1 species